GGAUUGCCUUAGUAACGGCGAGUGAAGCGGCAAAAGCUCAAAUUUGAAAUCUGGUACCUUUGGUGCCCGAGUUGUAAUUUGGAGAGUACCACUUUGGGACUGUACUUUGCCUAUGUUCCUUGGAACAGGACGUCAUGGAGGGUGAGAAUCCCGUGUGGCGAGGGUGUCAGUUCUUUGUAAAGGGUGCUCGAAGAGUCGAGUUGUUUGGGAAUGCAGCUCUAAGUGGGUGGUAAAUUCCAUCUAAAGCUAAAUACAGGCGAGAGACCGAUAGCGAACAAGUACAGUGAUGGAAAGAUGAAAAGAACUUUGAAAAGAGAGUGAAAAAGUACGUGAAAUUGUUGAAAGGGAAGGGCAUUUGAUCAGACAUGGUGUUUUGCGCCCCUUGCCUCUCGUGGGCUUGGGACUCUCGCAGCUCACUGGGCCAGCAUCGGUUUUGGCGGCCGGAAAAAACCUAGGGAAUGUGGCUCUGCGCCUCGGUGUAGAGUGUUAUAGCCCUGGGGAAUACGGCCAGCCGGGACCGAGGACUGCGAUACUUGUUAU
rnacentral:rRNA from 1 species